rnacentral:rRNA from 1 species
UGGGGAAUAUUGCACAAUGGGCGAAAGCCUGAUGCAGCGACGCCGCGUGAGGGACGAAGGCCUUCGGGUUGUAAACCUCUUUCAGCAGGGAAGAAGCGAAAGUGACGGUACCUGCAGAAGAAGCGCCGGCUAACUACGUGCCAGCAGCCGCGGUAAUACGUAGGGCGCAAGCGUUAUCCGGAAUUAUUGGGCGUAAAGAGCUCGUAGGCGGUUUGUCGCGUCUGCUGUGAAAGCCCGGGGCUCAACCCCGGGUCUGCAGUGGGUACGGGCAGACUAGAGUGCAGUAGGGGAGACUGGAAUUCCUGGUGUAGCGGUGAAAUGCGCAGAUAUCAGGAGGAACACCGAUGGCGAAGGCAGGUCUCUGGGCUGUAACUGACGCUGAGGAGCGAAAGCAUGGGGAGCGAACAGG